GACGGAGGAUGCAAGUGUUAUCCGGAAUCACUGGGCGUAAAGCGUCUGUAGGUGGUCAAAUAAGUCAACUGUUAAAUCUUGAGGCUCAACCUCAAAAUCGCAGUCGAAACUAUUAGACUAGAGUAUGGUAGGGGCAGAGGGAAUUCCUGGUGUAGCGGUGAAAUGCGUAGAUAUCAGGAAGAACAUCGGUGGCGAAGGCGCUCUGCUGGACCAUAACUGACACUCAGGGACGAAAGCUAGGGGAGCGAAUGGG
rnacentral:rRNA from 1 species